rnacentral:rRNA from 1 species
CCUACGGGAGGCAGCAGUAGGGAAUAUUGCGCAAUGGGGGAAACCCUGACGCAGCAACGCCGCGUGAGUGAGGAAGGUCUUCGGAUUGUAAAACUCUUUUAUUAGGGAAAUGGUACCUAAGGAAUAAGCACCGGCUAACUUCGUGCCAGCAGCCGCGGUAAUACGAAGGGUGCAAGCGUUGUUCGGAAUCAUUGGGCGUAAAGCGCGCGCAGGCGGAUCAGAAAGUCAGAUGUGAAAUCUCGGAGCUCAACUUCGAAACUGCGUCUGAAACUUCAUCUAGAGUGUCGGAGGGGGUAGGGGAAUUUCACGUGUAGGGGUAAAAUCCGUAGAGAUGUGAAGGAACACCGGAGGCGAAGGCGCCUACCUGGCGCUACUGACGCUGAGGCGCGAAAGCGUGGGGAGCAAACAGGAUUAGAUACCUUGUAGUC